UACGUAGGUGGCAAGCGUUGUCCGGAUUUAUUGGGCGUAAAGAGCGUGUAGGCGGCCAAGCAGGUCCGCUGUGAAAACUCGAGGCUCAACCUCGAGAGGUCGGUGGAAACCGUUUGGCUAGAGUCCGGAAGAGGAGAGUGGAAUUCCCGGUGUAGCGGUGAAAUGCGCAGAUAUCGGGAAGAACACCCGUGGCGAAGGCGGCUCUCUGGGACGGUACUGACGCUGAGGUGCGAAAGCGUGGGGAGCAAACAGG
rnacentral:rRNA from 1 species